GGCUUCGUAGUCGCGGAGAGCAGAACCCGGCAGCUUCAGGGGCUGCCUGGGGGUGGGUGUUACCUGCUGUAUGUCUGUGUGCGUCCUGGGUGUGUGUGUGUGUGUGUGUGUGUGUGUGUCUGUGUGUGUGUGUCUGUGUGCGUGCGUGCGCGCGUGCGUGUCUGUGUGCCCACUUCUGUCUCUCUCUUACGUCUCCCUCUCUCUCUCUCCCUCCCUCCCUCCUCGCUCUUCCGGUCGCCCUCUCUUUCUAUCUCUGUCCGUCUGUGUGUGCGUGUGCCUCGGGACACAUGUGCCCUGUGCGCCGGAGGGUGGGUUUCUUGCAGGUCGGCCUUUCUUCUGGUCAGCCUCUCCCCGCGUCUCUGCCUGGGUCGUGUGGCCGGUUGGCAGUCGGUUUCCCGGCGGUUCCGGUUUGGGGGUCUGUGAAGGCCUGGGCAACGCGGGCAUCUGCGUCGGAACCGCAGGGGUUUUCGUCCCCUCCCCAUCCGGAGCAGCCUCUUUGCUAGGCUAGAUGCAGACGACCGCUCUCCAACCGAGGACAACGGCCUCCCAGGCGCUCACUGUCCACCCGCAGGAGGGUGCCCGCAGACCUUCAAGAAGAUGGUUCUCACGCCUCUCGCCCUCUCCCUCAUCGAGAAAUGUGGCCACAGCUCGACGCAGGGACGGAGAAGGAAGCCGGCAAGGGGAUGGGGCAAGCAUCUCUGUCACUCAAAGGCUGGCCUUCCUGGCCGAGUCACCCGUUUGACACUCCUCCCCGGAUGCCCGUGGUGGUGGCAUGGCCCCGUAUCCUGCCUGGGCUCUGGCCUCUGCUCUGUCCUCCCUCUUGCUGUGUCUGCCCCGUCUCUGAGAAGCCUGGCGGCUUCUUAGUCUGGCUCAAUGUCUUCAACAAAGAAGACUUCCCAGUCCAUCAGGGAGAAACCCCGUGGGCUUCCGUGUCAUGAUCGUUUCCCUCUCCACACCUCUUUCUGGAUGAUUGGGCAGGUGUGGUGAUCCUGGAGCUCUGGGCUUCCAUACCUGUGUGGGACAGGGAAGCUCUCUUGGUCUCCAUGGCCCAAGUGAUGGCUGCGCGCUCGGUCCAGGAAGAGGGGGAGGCAAGCCCAGCGUUCCCCACAUUGGCCUUCCAGGAAAGGCGGUGUUGCAUCCCACCUGCACUUCCUGUCUGAUCCUUGAGGGCCAACCGGUUGCUCCGCUCCUGGGGAAAGCGCCCUCUGGCACUGAAUCUUUUGGCUGCCACGGAUGUCAGGGAGCCAACGGGACUGAGUUUUGGCUGGGUGCAGGGGAGGUUGCGUCAGGGGUACCUAGGCGGUGGCGGCGUGGGGGUGGGGUGUACUCGGUCCAAAGCUCUCGGCUCCUCUGGCGGGCCUCCCUGAAUGUGGCCUGGACUCGCGCGCAGGCCCUGUCUCGCAGGUCUGCAGGUGCGCUUGGCUUUUCCUCCGCUUUGUGGGGGCAGGUCUCCAGUGGCCCCCGGGCGCACGCCUGGACAUCACUGUCCGUCUCGUCGUCGCCCCCUACGGCCUCAAAGACACACGCUCACUGCAUGUGCUCUUGGGGGACGUCAGUGCCACGUGUGGUCACACGGGCUCCAGCUCGCACUCGCCUCUGUCUGUCUUUGCCCGUGUCGCCGGAAGCCGCGUCGGGAUGCCGGAGCCCCCGGGCCUUGGAGAUGAAGGCAGGCCCCUGCUCCACCCAGGAAGGAGGGAGGCAGUGGGCUCAUGGGUCAGUGCCGUUGCCGACGACAGCACGCCUUGCGGCCCUGGGGAUCUUUCCGUGCCCCGGCGAGACCCUUUCCGCCUCACUGCAUUGUGACCCCAUUCCCGAUCACCCGGUGGGAUCCAUCAUCGAAGCCCAAGAGGAGUCCGCGCAGCCCAGCCAGCACCCCGAAGCUCCUCCUUCACCGGGAACCGAAGCAGAAGACCGAUCAAGGAGGUCCUGACGACAGGACUCCUGUGGGUCCGACCCUGGGUCUCCCGCAGGCCCCUCUGGUAGUCCUCUUCCCACCCGCCGCCUCGGGCUGCGCCGCAGCCGCCGCCGCAACCUCCAGCACCGCCGCCCCAGUCCCCGCAGCCGCCGCGUCGCCGCCAUGUUUUAAAGGGUCCGCAGCCUGACUCUGCCCAGUAAGGGGGGGGGGAGUGGGGCGGGUGAGUCGGCCUCACCAGUGCGCAUGCGCGAGGCCCGAGCCGCCGCUUGGGUCACAGUGACCGCCACCGUUGCCUGGGGAUGGGUCCCUGAGACUUGGCGAAGUAGGAGCCCUGUGUGAUCGUGCCUCAGAGUCGGGGCUGAGACCAGUCCUGGCCAGGGCAGUUACCAGGACGGUCUCCGGAGGCCGGGAUUCGCGGAGGGUCCACCAGCAGGAAGAAACCCCAGGAGGAAGAAAUCUCAGACAGAUUGCCGGGGAGGCAGCGCGGGAUCCCAGCCUCAGGCGUGCGCGGACGGUGUGCGGGUGAGUCUCCCCAACAGUGGCGCCCUUGUGAUGUCGAGGACAGGUCUGCCUGGGUGUCCGUGGGCUGCUGUCUCACCGGUGGCUUCGUAGUCGCGGAGAGCAGAACCCGGCAGCUUCAGGGGCUGCCUGGGGGUGGGUGUUACUUGCUGUAUGUCUGUGUGCGUCCUGGGUGUGUGUGUGUGUGUGUGUGUGUGUGUCUGUGUGUGUGUGUCUGUGUGCGUGCGUGCGCGCGUGCGUGUCUGUGUGCCCACUUCUGUCUCUCUCUUACGUCUCCCUCUCUCUCUCUCCCUCCCUCCCUCCUCGCUCUUCCGGUCGCCCUCUCUUUCUAUCUCUGUCCGUCUGUGUGUGCGUGUGCCUCGGGACACAUGUGCCCUGUGCGCCGGAGGGUGGGUUUCUUGCAGGUCGGCCUUUCUUCUGGUCAGCCUCUCCCCGCGUCUCUGCCUGGGUCGUGUGGCCGGUUGGCAGUCGGUUUCCCGGCGGUUCCGGUUUGGGGGUCUGUGAAGGCCUGGGCAACGCGGGCAUCUGCGUCGGAACCGCAGGGGUUUUCGUCCCCUCCCCAUCCGGAGCAGCCUCUUUGCUAGGCUAGAUGCAGACGACCGCUCUCCAACCGAGGACAACGGCCUCCCAGGCGCUCACUGUCCACCCGCAGGAGGGUGCCCGCAGACCUUCAAGAAGAUGGUUCUCACGCCUCUCGCCCUCUCCCUCAUCGAGAAAUGUGGCCACAGCUCGACGCAGGGACGGAGAAGGAAGCCGGCAAGGGGAUGGGGCAAGCAUCUCUGUCACUCAAAGGCUGGCCUUCCUGGCCGAGUCACCCGUUUGACACUCCUCCCCGGAUGCCCGUGGUGGUGGCAUGGCCCCGUAUCCUGCCUGGGCUCUGGCCUCUGCUCUGUCCUCCCUCUUGCUGUGUCUGCCCCGUCUCUGAGAAGCCUGGCGGCUUCUUAGUCUGGCUCAAUGUCUUCAACAAAGAAGACUUCCCAGUCCAUCAGGGAGAAACCCCGUGGGCUUCCGUGUCAUGAUCGUUUCCCUCUCCACACCUCUUUCUGGAUGAUUGGGCAGGUGUGGUGAUCCUGGAGCUCUGGGCUUCCAUACCUGUGUGGGACAGGGAAGCUCUCUUGGUCUCCAUGGCCCAAGUGAUGGCUGCGCGCUCGGUCCAGGAAGAGGGGGAGGCAAGCCCAGCGUUCCCCACAUUGGCCUUCCAGGAAAGGCGGUGUUGCAUCCCACCUGCACUUCCUGUCUGAUCCUUGAGGGCCAACCGGUUGCUCCGCUCCUGGGGAAAGCGCCCUCUGGCACUGAAUCUUUUGGCUGCCACGGAUGUCAGGGAGCCAACGGGACUGAGUUUUGGCUGGGUGCAGGGGAGGUUGCGUCAGGGGUACCUAGGCGGUGGCGGCGUGGGGGUGGGGUGUACUCGGUCCAAAGCUCUCGGCUCCUCUGGCGGGCCUCCCUGAAUGUGGCCUGGACUCGCGCGCAGGCCCUGUCUCGCAGGUCUGCAGGUGCGCUUGGCUUUUCCUCCGCUUUGUGGGGGCAGGUCUCCAGUGGCCCCCGGGCGCACGCCUGGACAUCACUGUCCGUCUCGUCGUCGCCCCCUACGGCCUCAAAGACACACGCUCACUGCAUGUGCUCUUGGGGGACGUCAGUGCCACGUGUGGUCACACGGGCUCCAGCUCGCACUCGCCUCUGUCUGUCUUUGCCCGUGUCGCCGGAAGCCGCGUCGGGAUGCCGGAGCCCCCGGGCCUUGGAGAUGAAGGCAGGCCCCUGCUCCACCCAGGAAGGAGGGAGGCAGUGGGCUCAUGGGUCAGUGCCGUUGCCGACGACAGCACGCCUUGCGGCCCUGGGGAUCUUUCCGUGCCCCGGCGAGACCCUUUCCGCCUCACUGCAUUGUGACCCCAUUCCCGAUCACCCGGUGGGAUCCAUCAUCGAAGCCCAAGAGGAGUCCGCGCAGCCCAGCCAGCACCCCGAAGCUCCUCCUUCACCGGGAACCGAAGCAGAAGACCGAUCAAGGAGGUCCUGACGACAGGACUCCUGUGGGUCCGACCCUGGGUCUCCCGCAGGCCCCUCUGGUAGUCCUCUUCCCACCCGCCGCCUCGGGCUGCGCCGCAGCCGGCGCCGCAACCUCCAGCACCGCCGCCCCAGUCCCCGCAGCCGCCGCGUCGCCGCCAUGUUUUAAAGGGUCCGCAGCCUGACUCUUCGGAGUAAGGGUGUGUGGCGGGUGUCGGCCUCGCCAGUGCGCAUGCGCGAGGCUCGAGCCGCUGCUUGGGUCACAGUGACCGCCACCGUUGCUUGGGUAUGGGUCCCUGAGACUUGGCUAAGCAGGAGCCUUGUGUGAGCUUGUUCAGAGUCGGGGCUGUGACCAGUCCUGGACAGGGCAGUUACCAGGACGGUCUCCGGAGGCCGGGAUUCGCGGAGGGUCCACCAGCAGGAAGACACCUCAGGAGGAAGAAACCUGAGACAGAUCGCAGGAGAGACAGCGCGGGAUCCCAGCCUCAGGCGUGAGCGGACGCUCUGCGGGAAGGGAGUGUAUCCUGGUGUAUGACAGCAUAUAGUAGAGACCAUUGUCAAUUAGGGCCUGUGAACUGAGACAGGGUGACUGGCUAAGUCCACAACCCAUUAGAAACCCAGAAAUAAUCAAAUCAUGGAGAGAUUAGACCAGGGACAAUAAAUAUGGAUUAGGGAAGAAUGUGUUAACUCAGCAGGCCAGGGUUUCUUCAACCCCGCACAUUCAAAGAGGGAUCAUGGAAAGGAAGCUGAAUUUGCUGAGUUUUGCCACGUGGGCAUUGCAUGCCUAUGUGAUUAACCACCAAUAAAAACCUGGGACAUCAAAAAAUAAAUAAGCUGCUUUAAUUGCCAAUAAUUCACAUGUGGUUGUAUGCAGCAUUACUGGGAGAUUGAAGUGUAUCUGCAUGUGAUUCUGCUGUGAUGGACACUUGUAAAUUUGUGCCUGGAGUCUCCUGGAAUUUGCCCUGAGAAUCUUUUUCCUUUGUUGAUAUGAAUCUGCAUCCUUUUGUUUUAAUAAAUGAUAAACAUGAGUAUAA